UCCACUGAUUAUGAUAAAAGGGACCAAGGAGCAGUAUGUGGACUAAUAUUGGGUGUCUUAGAUGUGGAGAAGUGAGGUUAAUCGAUGUGUGUGUAGGUAUUGACUGUGUGUGUGUGUGUGUGUGUGUGUGUGUGUGUGUGUGUGUGUAAAACGUUUUUAUUCUCUUUGUGUUUUUUAUUGAUAACUUUUCCUCUUGAUUAUUCUCUGUGUCCUCUUUUAUCACUGGUUUCUAUCUAUGGUGUCUAUUCCACGUUUUCUUAAUUUCUUCUUAAUACUCUAUGGGUUAGGAAUGAGUCAGGUUUCCCCCUUAAUACUCUAUGGGUUAGGGAUGGGUCACAGGUUUCCCCCUUAAUACUCUAUGGGUUAGGGAUGGGUCACAGGUUUCCCCCUUAAUACUCUAUGGGUUAGGGAUGGGUCACAGGUUUCCCCCUUAAUACUCUAUGGGUUAGGGAUGGGUCACAGGUUUCCCCCUUAAUACUCUAUGGGUUAGGGAUGGGUCACAGGUUUCCCCCUUAAUACUCUAUGGGUUAGGGAUGAGUCACAGGUUUCCCCAUUAAUACUCUAUGGGUUAGGGAUGAGUCACAGGUUUCCCCCUUAAUACUCUAUGGGUUAGGGAUGGGUCACAGGUUUUCCCCUUAAUACUCUAUGGGUUAGGGAUGAGUCACAGGUUCCCCCCUUAAUACUCUAUGGGUUAGGGAUGAGUCACAGGUUUCCCCC